rnacentral:rRNA from 1 species
GUGAAGGUGGCCUGUGAGGGUUGCUGGAGGUAUCAGAAGUGCGAAUGCUGACAUAAGUAACGAUAAAGCGGGUGAAAAGCCCGCUCGCCGGAAGACCAAGGGUUCCUGUCCAACGUUAAUCGGGGCAGGGUGAGUCGACCCCUAAGGCGAGGCCGAAAGGCGUAGUCGAUGGGAAACGGGUUAAUAUUCCCGUACUUGGUGUUACUGCGAAGGGGGGACGGAGAAGGCUAUGUUGGCCGGGCGACGGUUGUCCCGGUUUAAGCGUGUAGGUGUGUGUUCCAGGUAAAUCCGGUUCACUUUAACACUGAGGCGUGACGACGAGGCACUACGGUGCUGAAGCAACAAAUGCCCUGCUUCCAGGAAAAGCCUCUAAGCAUCAGGUAACACGAAAUCGUACCCCAAACCGACACAGGUGGUCAGGUAGAGAAUACCAAGGCGCUUGAGAGAACUCGGGUGAAGGAACUAGGCAAAAUGGUGCCGUAACUUCGGGAGAAGGCACGCUGACACGUAGGUGAAGUGAUUUACUCAUGGAGCUGAAGUCAGUCGAAGAUACCAGCUGGCUGCAACUGUUUAUUAAAAACACAGCACUGUGCAAACACGAAAGUGGACGUAUACGGUGUGACGCCUGCCCGGUGCCGGAAGGUUAAUUGAUGGGGUCAGCGUAAGCGAAGCUCCUGAUCGAAGCCCCGGUAAACGGCGGCCGUAACUAUAACGGUCCUAAGGUAGCGAAAUUCCUUGUCGGGUAAGUUCCGACCUGCACGAAUGGCGUAAUGAUGGCCAGGCUGUCUCCACCCGAGACUCAGUGAAAUUGAACUCGCUGUGAAGAUGCAGUGUACCCGCGGCAAGACGGAAAGACCCCGUGAACCUUUACUAUAGCUUGACACUGAACAUUGAGCCUUGAUGUGUAGGAUAGGUGGGAGGCUUUGAAGUGUGGACGCCAGUCUGCAUGGAGCCGACCUUGAAAUACCACCCUUUAAUGUUUGAUGUUCUAACGUGGACCCGUAAUCCGGGUUGCGGACAGUGUCUGGUGGGUAGUUUGACUGGGGCGGUCUCCUCCUAAAGAGUAACGGAGGAGCACGAAGGUUGGCUAAUCCUGGUCGGACAUCAGGAGGUUAGUGCAAUGGCAUAAGCCAGCUUGACUGCGAGCGUGACGGCGCGAGCAGGUGCGAAAGCAGGUCAUAGUGAUCCGGUGGUUCUGAAUGGAAGGGCCAUCGCUCAACGGAUAAAAGGUACUCCGGGGAUAACAGGCUGAUACCGCCCAAGAGUUCAUAUCGACGGCGGUGUUUGGCACCUCGAUGUCGGCUCAUCACAUCCUGGGGCUGAAGUAGGUCCCAAGGGUAUGGCUGUUCGCCAUUUAAAGUGGUACGCGAGCUGGGUUUAGAACGUCGUGAGACAGUUCGGUCCCUAUCUGCCGUGGGCGCUGGAGAACUGAGGGGGGCUGCUCCUAGUACGAGAGGACCGGAGUGGACGCAUCACUGGUGUUCGGGUUGUCAUGCCAAUGGCACUGCCCGGUAGCUAAAUGCGGAAGAGAUAAGUGCUGAAAGCAUCUAAGCACGAAACUUGCCCCGAGAUGAGUUCUCCCUGAGACUUAG